rnacentral:lncRNA from 1 species
CGACAAAAAGGGUGUCCGGAUAUUGAUUCCGUCACCAGACUGACUUUUGGUCAAAGAUAGGUUUUCCGGUUUUAAACACGCACAACUACAACCAAUCGUAUGAUGGAUAACAAAAAUGAAAAAUAAAUAAGCCAAUCAGAGCGUUUUCCAUAUUAUGGUUUAUGGAUCAAUCGUAUGAUGGAUAACAAAAAUGAAAAAUAAAUAAGCCAAUCAGAGCGUUCUCCAUAUUAUGGUUUUUGGAUCGCAAGAACC